CACGUAGGGACCGAGCGUUGUCCGGAUUCAUUGGGCGUAAAGAGCUCGUAGGCGGUUUGUCGCGUCUGCUGUGAAAACUCGGGGCUUAACUCCGGGCCUGCAGUGGGUACGGGCAGACUAGAGUGCGGUAGGGGAGACUGGAAUUCCUGGUGUAGCGGUGAAAUGCGCAGAUAUCAGGAGGAACACCGGUGGCGAAGGCGGGUCUCUGGGCCGUAACUGACGCUGAGGAGCGAAAGCGUGGGGAGCGAACAGG
rnacentral:rRNA from 1 species